GGACUACUCGGGUUUCUAAUCCUGUUCGCUCCCCACGCUUUCGCUCCUCAGCGUCAGUUCCGGCCCAGACCACCGCCUUCGCCACUGGUGUUCCUCCUGAUAUCUGCGCAUUUCACCGCUACACCAGGAAUUCCAUGGUCCCCUACCGGACUCUAGCCAUGACAGUAUCGGAUGGCGGCCCCAGGUUAAGCCUGGGGGUUUCACAUCCGACUAAUCAAACCGCCUACGAGCUCUUUACGCCCAAUAAAUCCGGACAACGCUUGCACCCUACGUAUUACCGCGGCUGCUGGCAC
rnacentral:rRNA from 1 species